UACAGAGGUGGCAAGCGUUGUUCGGAAUUACUGGGCGUAAAGGGCGCGUAGGCGGCUUGGUCAGUCCCGUGUGAAAUCCCUCGGCUCAACUGAGGAACUGCACGGGAAACUGCCUGGCUUGAGUCCGGGAGAGGGAAGCGGAAUUCCGGGUGUAGCGGUGAAAUGCGUAGAUAUCCGGAGGAACACCGGUGGCGAAGGCGGCUUCCUGGACCGACACUGACGCUGAGGCGCGAAAGCGUGGGGAGCAAACAGG
rnacentral:rRNA from 1 species